rnacentral:rRNA from 1 species
AACGUACGCUGGCGGCACGCCUAACACAUGCAAGUCGAACGAAGUAGCAAUACUUAGUGGCAGACGGGUGAGUAACAUGUAGGUAUCUGCCCUUUGGCCUGGAAUAACACGAGGAAACUUGUGCUAAUACCGGAUAAGUCUUUACGGAGAAAGCUUUAUGCACCAUUGGAUGAGCCUGCACUUGAUUAGUUUGUUGGUGGGGUAAUGGCCUACCAAGACUGUGAUCAAUAGCUGAUUUGAGAGGAUGAUCAGCCACAUUGGGACUGAGACACGGCCCAAACUCCUACGGGAGGCAGCAGUGGGGAAUCUUGCACAAUGGAGGAAACUCUGAUGCAGCGAUGCCGCGUGAGUGAAGAAGGCCCUUGGGUUGUAAAGCUCUUUCGUCGGGGAAGAAAAUGACUGUACCCGAAUAAGAGGGUCCGGCUAACUUCGUGCCAGCAGCCGCGGUAAUACGAAGGGACCUAGCGUAGUUCGGAAUUACUGGGCUUAAAGAGUUCGUAGGUGGUUGAAAAAGUUAGUGGUGAAAUCCCAGAGCUUAACUCUGGAACUGCCAUUAAAACUUUUCAGCUAGAGUAUGAUAGAGGAAAGCAGAAUUUCUAGUGUAGAGGUGAAAUUCGUAGAUAUUAGAAAGAAUACCAAUUGCGAAGGCAGCUUUCUGGAUCAUUACUGACACUGAGGAACGAAAGCAUGGGUAGCGAAGAGGAUUAGAUACCCUCGUAGUCCAUGCCGUAAACGAUGUGUGUUAGACGUUGGAAAUUUAUUUUCAGUGUCGCAGGGAAACCGAUAAACACACCGCCUGGGGAGUACGACCGCAAGGUUAAAACUCAAAUGAAUUGACGGGGACCCGCACAAGUAGUGGAGCAUGUGGUUUAAUUCGAAGAUACGCGCAGAACCUUACCAACACUUGACAUGUUCGUCGCGACUCUAAGAGAUUAGAGUUUUCGGUUCGGCCGGACGAAACACAGGUGCUGCAUGGCUGUCGUCAGCUCGUGUCGUGAGAUGUUGGGUUAAGUCCCGCAACGAGCGCAACCCUCACUUUUAGUUGCCAUCAUUAAGUUGGGCACUCUGAAAGAACUGCCAGUGAUAAGCUGGAGGAAGGUGGGGAUGACGUCAAGUCCUCAUGGCCCUUACGUGUUGGGCUACACACGUGCUACAAUGGUAUCUACAACAGGAAGCAAGACUGCGAAGUUAAGCAAAUCCCUAAAAGAUACCUCAGUUCGGAUUGCACUCUGCAACUCGAGUGCAUGAAGCUGGAAUUACUAGUAAUCGUGGAUCAGCGUGCCACGGUGAAUGCGUUCCCGGGUCU